UUGACAUCCAGAGAAUUUAGCAGAGAUGCUUUAGUGCCUUCGGGAACUCUGAGACAGGUGCUGCAUGGCUGUCGUCAGCUCGUGUUGUGAAAUGUUGGGUUAACGUCCGCAACGAGCGCAACCCUUAUCCUUUGUGCCAGCACGUAAUGGUGGGAACUCAAAGGAGACUGCCGGUGAUAAACCGGAGGAAGGUGGGGAUGACGUCAAGUCAUCAUGGCCCUUACGAGUAGGGCUACACACGUGCUACAAUGGCGUAUACAAAGAGAAGCGACCUCGCGAGAGCAAGCGGACCUCAUAAAGUGCGUCGUAGUCCGGAUUGGAGUCUGCAACUCGACUCCAUGAAGUCGGAAUCGCUAGUAAUCGUAAAUCAGAAUGUUACGGUGAAUACGUUCCCGGGCCUUGUACACACCGCCCGUCACACCAUGGGAGUGGGUUGCAAAAGAAGUAGAUAGCUUAACCUUCGGGAGGGCGUUUACCACUUUGUGAUUCAUGACUGGGGUGAAGUCGUAACAAGGUAAGCGUAGUGCU
rnacentral:rRNA from 1 species